CCUACGGGAGGCAGCAGUGAGGAAUUUUCUGCAAUGGGCGAAAGCCUGACAGAGCAAUACCGCGUGAGGGAAGAAGGCUUACUGAGUUGUAAACCUCGGUGCCUUAAGGAAGAAGAUCUGACGGUACUUAAGGUGGAAAGCAUCGGCUAACCCCGUGCCAGCAGCCGCGGUAAGACGGGGGAUGCAAGUGUUAUCCGGAAUCACUGGGCGUAAAGCGUCUGCAGGUGGUUUCUUAAGUCCACUGUUAAACCUUGAGGCUCAACCUCAAAUCUGCAGUGGAAACUAAGAAACUUGAGGAUAGUAGGGGUAGAGGGAAUUUCCAGUGGAGCGGUGAAAUGCGUAGAUAUUGGAAAGAACACCGAUGGCGAAGGCACUCUACUGGGCUAUGACUGACACUCAGAGACGAAAGCUAGGGGAGCAAAUGGGAUUAGAUACCCCAGUAGUCCUAGCCGUAAACGAUGGAUACUCGAUGUUGGACGUAUCGACCCGUUCAGUAUCUUAGCUAACGCGUUAAGUAUCCCGCCUGGGGAGUACGCUCGCAAGAGUGAAACUCAAAGGAAUUGACGGCUGAGACGNGCGAGACGACGACGAGGAGAG
rnacentral:rRNA from 1 species